UGGGGAAUAUUGGACAAUGGGCGCAAGCCUGAUCCAGCCAUGCCGCGAGAGUGAUGAAGGCUCUAGGGUUGUAAAGCUCUUUCACCGGUGAAGAUAAUGACGGUAACCGGAGAAGAAGCCCCGGCUAACUUCGUGCCAGCAGCCGCCGUAAUACGAAGGGAGCUAGCGUUGUUCGGAUUUACUGGGCGUAAAGCGCACGUAGGCGGACUUUUAAGUCAGGGGUGAAAUCCCGGGGCUCAACCCCGGAACUGCCUUUGAUACUGGAAGUCUUGAGUAUGGUAAGGGUGAGUGGAAUUCCGAGUGUAGAGGUGAAAGUCGUAGAUAUUCGGAAGAACACCAGUGGCGAAGGCAGCUCACUGGACCAUUUAUGACGCAGAAGUGCGAAAGACUGAGGAGCAGGCUGG
rnacentral:rRNA from 1 species